AUUAACAGCAAUAAGGGAGACCUCUGGCGAAUAUAUUAACGAAGGGCAUUAACUCUAAAUUGGUGUAGUUCGAUUGUGGUAGUUUCUUUUAUCGCGCGUUAAGUGAGCUUAACGGAGAAAUUUAAUUCAUUGUAUUGUAAUACUUUCAGCGGACUUCAAAAAGAAAAAGUUAUUGAUUUCUUUUGAAAUUUUACAAGGAGGCGUAUAGUUGAUUGAAUUGGCUCUUCUAUAAUACUAGUGGUUGUUUGAACGACCCAGGACAGAGAUAAUUAAAAGGAAACGUCAACCCCAACUGAUUUUGAGAUCCGAAAGAGAAAAUUAAAAACCAAAUUCUAAAUGAAAUCAAACUUCUACUCUAUUACUAAUUCCACGUUUGAAAUUGUAUAACUUCUACUGUAAAAGUCCGUGAUACUUUUGCUAAUGUGUUAUCGAGGAGGCUUAUCUUAUUUGUUUAUUUAAGAGAGUAAGAAAGUAUUCGAUUACUUAUUUGCGAGAAUGAAGUCGGACCGGGUUCGAUGAAAAUCUACAGUUGACUUUACUCCAAUACUUGAACACGAAAAUGUCUUCGCAAGCAGAGUUUAGUGUCCAAUGAAGAAAAGCCUGCUUCUCGAUAAAGAUCUCCGAUUCUUGGUCUAUACUGGAAGGACUAGUACCAAACUUUGGAAUAAAGAGCUAUACCAGACCACGAACAGGUCGUCACUGUGCUGUCCCCAUUGUACCAACUGCUUCAUCUCGGGCAGCAAGGACGAUGUACUGCAAUAGCUUGGGUUUCAAGGGCCCACAGCUGUUUAACUGUCUGCCGAAGCAUCUGAGGAGCCUUCAUGGAGUGGAUAUAGACGUUUUCAAACGUGAACUUGACCUCUGGCUCGCCGAGAUCCCGGAUGGGCCAAUAUCUAAGCAAGAAACUCAAAAGAGCAUCGAACUCCAUCCUUCACCAGAAGCCGCUCCGACAAAGAUGGAAAGUGGAAAGAUGAUUACAAUGGCAGUGCUCCAGCAUGGCCACAGUCAUUGGACUGAAACAUA